rnacentral:lncRNA from 1 species
CAGACUUACUCGUGGAUGUAAGUUGGAGGUGUGGAUGCCGUGAGCCUAUUCAUAGUACUUAUAUGUAGCAUCAGGUGGCAGGCAGGCGAGGCUGUGCCUGACACACAGCUCCCUAGUCAGCCCAGUGGCACUGCUUGCUACAACUGAGUUUUGCUGGGAUCAUCGUGUGAUGAGAUGUUGAAAUGAAGUACAAUUAAGACAGGGAAACAGAAAUGCUCAGCUGGGCUGGAUGCUGGGUCUGUGAGCUUGGCUCACCCUAAAGUAUAAAUGGCCCGUAGAGGAGAUGGACAUGUAGAAGGAAAAUAUGUAGCUCCCUUAUAUUAAAUGAAAGGGAAAUGACCCACACAAAGUCUGCUAAGUAUCCUCAAGAGCUGGGAAACAAUUUCGUGCAAAUUUCAGAAUUUCUGUGCUGACACACACAGACCAUGACUACCAGACUCUUGAAGUAGACAUUUUCUGCAUGCUUUGAAAGGAUCGUUCUGCUCUUCGCUACCUGGAUGAACAGUAACCUGGAAGAAUUCUACAAAGUGAAAGACUUUUAUGAGCCUGGAGUUUGAUGGUGAACUAUUAUUUCAUCUUCAAAGGGCACACCAAAGAUAAUGGAGAACCUGUCUUCUAUCUGCUGACCAAUAGACUUUCCCACACUGACUUGGAGAAUAUGCUUACUUACCCAC